UCCCCCUCCUUGGCCAGGCAUCAAAGCUAUGUGUUGUUCGUUUAAAACAUGAACAUCCUGAUCCCAGGACUUUGAAGAUAGGAAUCACCCAUCCCAAACCAGACACACUGCCCACAGUAGCUGAGAAAGAAGCCAAAGGUGGUGAAUGAUUAGCAGAACUGCCAGACAGCUCCAGAGUCUGGACACAGAGUACCAGGAAAGCUGUUUCGUGGGGGAAACUCAGACUGAUCAAAAGAGCCGAGGAAGUCCUUUGUGGCCUGUCUACUUCGUGGAAAUAGCUCUAGGAGAGGGAAGACCAGCUGCCUUCAUCAGGAAUUCACAGGUGGCAUUUCUAUGGGGAAUCAGCACAAGGGAAAAGGAGACAUUUCCUUUCUAAGUUAUGGUGGCAUCACAAUCACACCAUUAUUGCAUGGACUGAAGUGCAAGUGGAGGACAAGGGGUUGGGAGAGGAAGUGACUUUGGCAAAUUGUCCUCAAGCUGGUAAGAAGCAGAUCUCUGAGACUUUCUACUGGGAUAUGGAGUUUUGGGGCAAAAAGGAGAAUGGAGAUCAACACUGAUAUUUAUUUAUUCAUUUUUAAAUAUACACUUUCAGGUAGAAGUUGAGAAGUAUUGAUCUUUAACUAAGGAGGGUUGGGAUUGCCAAAGGCAGCCCCCAGCAGGGGCAGUUCCCUUCUGUCAUAAAAGACCUUAGCGUCCUGGGGAGAAUGAGUUCCGGACUGGAACCUCCAGGCUGAAUGCCCCCACUGUUCCCCUCCUUGUUAUAACCUCCUGGGUGGUGUGAUCUUUUUUUCCCAGUGUCCUGCCACAUCCACAUCCCCAAAGAACUCUUUUUUCAAAAACAUUUCUUUCCCUGCCUCCCCAGUCUGAAGAUAUUCCCAGCAAGUUUAAGAAUUCAUCAGAUGCUCUGUUCUUGGCAGCACUGGUCUUCUGGGCAUGGCUCGGGAGCAGCAGACCUCCUUUGGAGCUGUACCUUGUCAUUUUCCAUUUUUGGAAUUCAUUUCAACAAACAUUUGGAACAAGAUCUUCACA